AAACCAACAGGGAUUGCCCUAGUAACGGCGAGUGAAGCGGCAACAGCUCAAAUUUGAAAGCUGGCCUUCGGGUCCGCAUUGUAAUUUGUAGAGGAUGCUUUGGGUGAAACGCCAGUCUAAGUUCCUUGGAACAGGACGUCAUAGAGGGUGAGAAUCCCGUAUGUGACUGGAAAUGUUAACCUAUGUAAAGCUCCUUCGACGAGUCGAGUUGUUUGGGAAUGCAGCUCUAAAUGGGAGGUAAAUUUCUUCUAAAGCUAAAUAUUGGCGAGAGACCGAUAGCGCACAAGUAGAGUGAUCGAAAGAUGAAAAGCACUUUGGAAAGAGAGUUAAAAAGCACGUGAAAUUGUUGAAAGGGAAGCGCUUGCAAUCAGACUUGUUUAAACUGUUCGGCCGGUCUUCUGACCGGUUUACUCAGUUUGGACAGGCCAGCAUCAGUUUCGGCGGCCGGAUAAAGGCUCUGGGAAUGUGGCCUUCACUUCGGUGAAGGUGUUAUAGCCCAGGGUGUAAUACGGCCAGCCGGGACUGAGGUCCGCGCUUCGGCUAGGAUGCUGGCGUAAUGGUUG
rnacentral:rRNA from 1 species